rnacentral:rRNA from 1 species
CUGACGCUGAGGAGCGAAAGUGUGGGGAGCGAACAGGAUUAGAUACCCGGUAGUCCACACCGUAAACGUUGGGCGCUAGGUGUGGGGCCUAUUCCAUGGGUUCCGUGCGCAGCUAACGCAUUAAGCGCCCCGCCUGGGGAGUACGGCCGCAAGGCUAAAACUCAAAGGAUUGACGGGGGCCCGCACAAGCGGCGGAGCAUGCGGAUUAAUUCGAUGCAACGCGAAGAACUUACCUGGGUUUGACAUAUGCCGGAAAGCUCUAGAGAUAGAGCCCCUUUUAGUCGGUAUCAGGUGGUGCAUGGCUGUCGUCAGCUCGUGUCGUGAGAUGUUGGGUUAAGUCCCGCAACGGCGCAACCCUCGUCCUAUGUUGCCAGCACGUGAUGGUGGGGACUCAUAGGAGACUGCCGGGUCAACUCGGAGGAAGGUGGGGAUGACGUCAAGUCAUCAUGCCCCUUAUGUCCAGGGCUUACGCAUGCUACAAUGGCCGGUACAAAGGGCUGCGAUCCCGUAAGGGGGAGCGAAUCCCAAAAGCCGGUCUCAGUUCGGAUUGGGGUCUGCAACUCGACCCCAUGAAGUCGGAGUCGCUAGAAUCGCAGAUCAGCAACGCUGCGGUGAAUACGUUCCCGGGCCUUGCACACACCGCCCGU